UGCGGAGUGGUGUAAUGGUAACACAACGGUCUUUGGAACCGUUUUUCUAGGUUCGAAUCCUAGCUCCGCAG
rfam:Microgenomates (Levybacteria) bacterium GW2011_GWA2_40_16 TT85_C0007, whole genome shotgun sequence.